GGGAGAAUUAAGGCUGAAGAGACGGCGGCUCUCCUCAAACCUUCCCCAUUUGUGGAGAAAUAGCAGGAGUUGCUUCUCCUGUUCGCGCGUUCCUUUUUCUUCCUCCUUCCCUCCCCACCUUCUUUGUGGCUGUUGAUAACCCAUUUACUUGUACUUUUCUCCUGGACUCAUGUCUAUAACCAUUCAGAAGAAAGAAAAUAUACAAGAUAAAUGAAGGAAGCAUAUCUAUUUCCUUACCCAAUCUGCAUAAUUAGACGAGCAGGAUUUACUUUGGAGGCCACAGGAAUCUAGUUAUGGACUGAUGGCAGCUGAAUCAACUUCCAGAAACAUACGGACAUGUGGAACAUUUGGAUUGAUCUGUUUUGGUGGAAUAUGAAGACACAUUCUAGAACUGGUACACUACACCAACUUAGAACAUUUUACAUAUUUACCCAUAUUUGGGUGCAGCUGUCUAGGAAACAGUAAAAUCCUAAGAAAACAUUUAUAAAUUUCAAUUAAAACUUGGUGACUUCACUUUUUAUAUUUAACAUAUGACUUGUAUGUUGCCCCUUUCUUCCUUCCAUAGUGUCUUGAUGCAUGACUAUACUUAGCCAUGAACUGAUUUUUAAAUCCUGCAUUCUAAGUUAUUGUAUGCUUUUUUGAGAAUUAAACAGUUUCCAGUACUUUUAAAACUUAAGUCAAAAUGUAAUACUUCACUGUGGCAACUGAUUUUAU